CCUACGGGUGGCAGCAGUGGGGAAUAUUGCACAAUGGGGGAAACCCUGAUGCAGCAACGCCGCGUGAGUGAAGAAGUAUCUCGGUAUGUAAAGCUCUAUCAGCAGGGAAGAAAAUGACGGUACCUGACUAAGAAGCCCCGGCUAACUACGUGCCAGCAGCCGCGGUAAUACGUAGGGGGCACGCGUUAUCCGGAUUUACUGGGUGUAAAGGGAGCGUAGACGGCAUGGCAAGUCUGAAGUGAAAGCCCGGGGCUCAACCCCGGGACUGCUUUGGAAACUGUGAGGCUGGAGUGCAGGAGAGGUAAGCGGAAUUCCUAGUGUAGCGGUGAAAUGCGUAGAUAUUAGGAGGAACACCAGUGGCGAAGGCGGCGUACUGGACAGUAACUGACGUUGAGGCUCGAAAGCGUGGGGAGCAAACAGGAUUAGAUACCCUUGUAGUC
rnacentral:rRNA from 1 species